GCCUUCGUGGUGUAGUGGCCAGCAUGCUCGACGCGUGACCGAGAGGUCCAUGGUUCGAUUCCCGGCGAAGGCG
rfam:Stegodyphus mimosarum contig87832, whole genome shotgun sequence.